GCUGAGCAGCAGGGCUGGCUGUGCCAAGUAAGGCUGUGCCCUCCUUCCCCUUCCCAGCUGAGCUGCUGCUGCUAACUGGCCAGAGGAUAACCCUGCUGCCUGGAUUCAAACAGCAGCUCCAAAUCAGUGUACAUUGAAAUUACUGCUUCCUGUGUCAGUCCUUCUUUGCUGAAGACUUUCAAGCUCCUGAGUCUUCCAAGUUUAUCCAACAAAACUUCUGAUAGAAGCACAGCCUCACAGACUGUGACAUGCACACAUACAGUGUCUGCAUGGUUUGCGUCCUGGAUAACUCAUUCAUGCAACUUAGCCACAUUUUUUUCCUUGCCACUGAUUUAUUCACAUAAGUAUUGGAGAAAUUACCCUUGGUUUCCAGUGUGGACUUCUUGAUCUCAUAUGUUUUAGAUUAAAAGUCAUUAAAUUAUCAGAGCAAAUUCUUACACUUGUAUAUGCCAUUGCUGAAUGGAUAAGUUGUCAAGUAUGACAUCAAUUGCUACAUCACUGGCUUUAAAAUUGAAUUUUGAAAAAAACAAAACAAAACAAAACCCAAAAGCAAUCAAAAAUGUAAAAAUGUUUGAAUUGACACUUUUGUUGCUGUACAUUUCAGUCAACAUUUUAAAUGCAAAAUAAAAUUUAAAUUUAAAUUCUCUUUGAAAGGUAACAGGUUAUUUUAAAAUUUGACUCAGUCCAUGUCAAAUCCACAUAAAACUGACUCAGCCACAUACUCAAGUUUAAAAAGAAAUGUAGCUUGUUUUUAGCCACUAAGAGUGUUUUUUCUUUUCAAAUAGCAGGUUCAAAGGAUUAAUAUGAAAAUAAAGCCUUUCCUAUCAGCUUGUGCAGAGAGUAGAGCAGCAUAAGAUAUUACAAUCUGCAAAUCUGCAAAUAAUAUGAAUUCAUGUAUCCUGCAUGCUACAAGUGGGAACUUCAUUUAAGACCUGAGUAAAUUGGCAUGGCAGAGGCAGCAGGAAGGCAACUCAAGCAAGGAAUCCUAAGGACCAGCCCAGUAACACAGAGUGGCCCCAACCUCUUUUACUGGCAUCAAAAAUGAAAUAAGAGAUGUCAAGAUCCUUUGUUGUAGUCCUGUUGUGGCCUGCCUAUAGAUGAGGAUAUUUGAAUUUCAUUUCCCUGCCUCCACUAAGAGUGUCUUUGAAAGCCUGAUGACAUUGGCUUUGUGUAGGUGAGGUGGAUUUCCUCUACAGUUCUUGUUGGCACAGUAGCACUUGAAAUGCAAAACACAAACAUUUUCUUAACAGCAUUAAAUGUCUUCACUAUUCAAAGGCAUGGAAACAGGCCAGAAACUGUUCAGAUUACCAGUGAACCUUUCAAGCUAGCUUUACAAAAGUAGGUAUUAUAACAUGUGAGAAUGUACAGAGAAAAGUGAUGACUCUGUUGACUGUAGGAACAAAGGCAGCAACAGUAUAGAUAGUAUAUAGUGCCUAAUCCCUAUAAUCUGAAAGGUGAGAAAGGAUCAAGAGGACUGUAUUAACUGAACUAUAUCUGAUUUUAAGGUUAUGGCUGCUGCUGAGAGAUAAUCAAGCACACAUUUUAGAACAGUGUGUAAAAUGGAAAGGAAUAAUUUCAUACCUGACUUUGGAAUUACUUAUUCCAGAAAAAAAAAUGUAUCAGAUGCUGCCUAAACAAAAAAUAGUGCAGGACCAGGAACAUAGGGUUCUCCUGCAUUGUUCAAAAGACAACCACUAUCACGUUAAAUAAAAUAACAUUUAAAAAAAUGAGCCUCAAUGGGCUGAAGAGCCUGUCUUCAAUUCGACAGUUCCGAUGUUCUUCAUAAUGUGCCUUUUUUUAAACAUUACCCUCUCAAUUAACUCAUAAUUGCUGUCCAUGCCAUAUGAAUUAUGCAGCAUUUGAUGUAAAUUCAGAUUCCCUGGCACUGAACAAAUCUAAAGGCAUUUCAGAACUUGGUGUAAUUACAAAAGUAAUCCCUUUAGACUGAGAAAGAAAAUGAAUAUCAUCUUUUUUCAUCCUAGUUGGUUUGUAUGGUACUCCUGUGCUAAAUUCCCCUUGGGCUGCCAUGAAAGUGCAUGGAUUUGGUCUGGCUGAGAUGGAAUUCAUUUUCUCCACUGCAGCCCUCACAGAGCUGUACCCCACUGGUGGCUAGAAAGGUGUUUCUAACACACAGUGCUUCGGCCCCUGCUGUCUCUCCAAGAGUUACCCCUUACCAAUAGGCUGGGGGUGGGCAGGAUCUGGAGAGGAGACAAAGCCAGGAGAGCUGACCCAAAAUGAUAAAAUGCAAUAAAAGCUUGGAGAAAGAAGGAGGUGAGGAGCAUUUGUUUUUACAUUUAUUUUCCAGAGCAACCAUUAUAUGUACUGAAACCCUGCUUCCUGAAAAGGGGCUGUACACUGCCUGCUGAUGGGAAGUAGAGAAUAAAUCUUUGGUUUUCCUUUGCUUCUGCAGAGGAGGGGAGUGUCAGAGAGGCUUGGUGUAUGCCUGGCAUCCAGCCAAGGCCAACCCACCGCAGUGCAAUAGCAAGGAAGAUCCUAAACUGGGGUAAAUGAGCACAGGUCAGGAGAAAUUAAGAGAUCUAGCCCAGCUUACACAGUGAUCCAUGUGGCUGCAAUUUCUCCUCAAAUUUAUCCUUGAUCAGUUCUUCACUGAAACUCUAACUGAACUAGAGUCUGAGUGGAAUAUAUUACUGGAAAAACAAAAAGCAAAACAAGUCUUGCAAUGUACUAUGCUCUGAAUUAUUCAACUGUUGAAAGAUACAAAGAUUUAUCCAAAAUAAGAGAACCAGGGACAGUAAAUUGGUGCAUUUAAAUAUGUGGCAACUUGUAGGACAGUGGACAAAGGAGUAAGACAAGAGGCAAUGGGGGAAAAUUGACGCAUAGGAAGUUCCACCAGAAUAUGAGCAAGAACUUUACUGUGCACUGGAACUGAUUGUACAGAGAGGGUGUGAAGUCAAACUCUCUGGGAGAAAUCCUGUGCAAUCUGUUCUAGGAUGACCUUGCCUGACCAGAAAGGUUGGGCCAAAUGACCCAUGGUACUCCUGACUUUCUUCUUCAAUCUCUGUAAUUUUAUGACUAUUUCUCUAACCUGUUAUGUUUUUUUCUGGAAUCAGGAUUAUAAGAGACUAAAUAAAAUAUUCUAGGAGAGAGUCUGGAUUCUAAGUGACUUCUAAUGCUCUUGGAAACUAACAGACUCUCAACAAAUGUAAAAAAUACAGUAAGGUUUAUGUGCAUCAAAAUUUUUCAGUGUACCUAGCACAGAAAAAAAAAUAUAUUUCUGAAAAUGUUCUUAGGCUGGGAAAAUAUCUGAUUAGCAAAACUCCAAAUGUUUACUAUAUUGGCCAGACAUAAAAAAAACUCAGCAUACUGACAGCCUUGAUAUUAAGGUGAUUGGUGAGAAUUUUCACCAAAUACAAGAUGAGAGAAAGCAAACUAACUAAGACAAGGUGCUCAAGGUUGACUUCCAUAUGCAUUUCUUAGCUAAUGUGCUAUUUUCAUUUAGAUAGAAGCAAACCUGCCUCUCUAAAUCUGCAGAUAGGGGUGGGGUGUGUUGCCAGGGUUGAGGAGAUCCUAGUGAAGCAGUGACAAGAAAUGCUUGGAGGAGCUGAAAAAGCAGGAAUAGAGAGAGAAGACAAAAAGCAAGGAUGGGAGACAAGCUAUCAAGAAGAUACUAUGACUGGUGGCAUGGUGGAUUGCACACCAAAUCAACAGUUCUUAAAGCCUACAGAUUUUCAGUCUGAAUUUUCACCAGUUCAAGGGAAAUUGAGCUAAUACAAGAUUUCUCAUUUAAACAAAUUUGACACUCAGCUUGACUAAACUCAACCUUGAGCUUUCAUGAUUAAUUUUUCUUCAUAAAAUUGCAAGACAGCACUGAAAGAGUUUUGGCCAGAAAACCUCAAAUACAGAGAUGCCUUAAGAGUCAGGUGAAUGAAAGCCUAUUAAGAAUCUCCCCAAAUACGUUUUUCUCUUAUAACACUACCAUCAACAUAUAUAAAUACAAUUCCAUUUUAUAACUCCUCUAACCUGAGCAUAGCUCAGAUUCAGUUAUACAACGACAUUCUUAUCUUCUUAAUCUAUUUAAUAAAGAUAUGCUGUAACCAGUGUAAUUACAAGAAAGAAUUUUUGAAAUAUACAAGCACACCAAUACAACUGUGAUUUUCUGAAAUUUUGUUAUUGUGUUUGCUGCCCCUGAUCACUCUAAGAAACUUCUGAAGCUGCAAAAGUAGGAGUGGGGAUGGGCUAUAAGCCAUGAAGUCACAUCCUGCUGUCAGGGAUGUUUAUGCCACCCUUAUGAUGGAUUACCUGAGUUUAUUACGAUUGUUGCAAGGAAUGUAUGAAAUAAAAAAGUGUGACUAUUCCUCCUUUACAGAAGAAAGGCGAAAGCCAAGAAAGAUGAUGUGAUUUUCCUGAGACAACUUAAAAAAAAAAAGUAUGCAAAAUCAUGAAUACUUAAUUCAGCAUGGCCAAACUUAGGCUUUCUCCCCUACAACAGGAGAUAAGUAAAAUUCUGCCUCCAAUUUUUAACCUGUCAACCACAUUCAUUUAUCUUAGAGUGUGGGGGGCAAACAAUCCAGCUCCUUUCUCAGUAUACUGUAAACACAGAACUUUUUUUCUGAAAUAAAGAGCUGAAGAAUCAAACUGAAUACAUACUAAGUUCCAUACAACAUUAAAAUAAUUGUUACCACGAUUCCUCACUUCUAGUAUUUUUGGCUUCUGGUGGUAUUUCCUGACUGUCAUAAAGGGAAUCAUUAAUAUUAUCCCUGCUUUGCUGCCUCUUUGUCUCCCCCUCCCCCUCCCUUUCUCUAUAUGGAGACAAGCGCUGUAGUCUCUACUGAAAACUGAAGUAUAACCAUCUAAUUGUUAAUCAGCCAGUAGAGAGUGGCUGAUAAAGCAAAAUGCCAUGAUGACUUUUACUUGUGAGUGUAAAAGAUUAGGUAAAAUUGAUCUUUGAUGUACUCAUACCAUAACUUUUCUUUCUGGAUACUCAGAGUCCUAAACCCACAUUCUUAAAAUCAGAUGUCCUUCCUUUUUAACAAGCAUUAUUACAAAUCUCAAAUCAAUUGAUGGCUUGCAUUGACUUGAACAGGACAACAGUUAAAUGAUGUACCCAAUGUCAUACAGAAAGUCUGUAUGAUGAUGAGGAAGAUUUUAUUAGCAUUGUACAUUAACAUUUUUUCUCUCUGGCUAUGACAGCUCUAAAAUUUAUUGUCAUUUCCCUAGGUGGUGCCCUGUAUUGCUGGCCUGAAAUCAUCCAAAGCAAAAUUAUUUGCUUUCAGAGAUAAGUAUCCUAAAAAGAUUAUGGAGUCUGACUGUAUUUUAAGACACUUGGAAAUAAAGUUGCAUUGCUACUGAAACAAAA